rnacentral:rRNA from 1 species
CGGUGUUUGGCACCUCGAUGUCGGCUCAUCACAUCCUGGGGCUGAAGUAGGUCCCAAGGGUAUGGCUGUUCGCCAUUUAAAGUGGUACGCGAGCUGGGUUUAGAACGUCGUGAGACAGUUCGGUCCCUAUCUGCCGUGGGCGCUGGAGAACUGAGGGGGGCUGCUCCUAGUACGAGAGGACCGGAGUGGACGCAUCACUGGUGUUCGGGUUGUCAUGCCAAUGGCACUGCCCGGUAGCUAAAUGCGGAAGAGAUAAGUGCUGAAAGCAUCUAAGCACGAAACUUGCCCCGAGAUGAGUUCUCCCUGAGACUUAGAGUCUCCUGAAGGAACGUUGAAGACGACGACGUUGAUAGGCCGGGUGUGUAAGCGCAGCGAUGCGUUGAGCUAACCGGUACUAAUGAACCGUGAGGCUUAACCUU